UUCAUCACUCUCUCUAACCCACCACCAGCAAGAAGUUACGUGCAGAGCUACAAAUUUCCUCAAGUUGACUCCAGUUUCUAUUCCAACUACUUACCAGAAAAGGCCAUCUGUGUAUUGCUGGGAAAAGUAUAAAGUUCCCAACUGAGCAUUCUGCCUCGGCCUUAUGAUAAUGAUGAAAACCCGAUAUGUUCUUCUGUCUCUCUUCACAUUCACAAUCUUUCUCAAUCCAGGAAAAACUGAAAUCCGUGAUACAGCAACAUGUCAUUUAUUCAGUGCUGUGUGCUUCCCGGUUGUGUGUACUCCGCCACGUUUCCAGAUCGGAGAAUGUCGUCCGUUUGUGUUCUGCUGUGCAAUUGCUGCCUAUGAGUGAUGGGAAGACACGAGAUCUCUGCUUAAGGAAUCAACAAUUCCAGCCUUAUCACAACCGUUGCCAAGAAUGCACUUUUGGCUCUUCUGCAGCUGAAAGACCAGAAAUAAAUCUCUGCUGGGAAUGAGUUAAAGAUCCCAUCUUAACAACAACAACAACAAGGACAACAAGGACAAUAAUACAAAUCAGAAGGGACAAACAGUUCAUCAUGUCCCUUGCUUUCUGAAUAUAGUUAUUAGAUGAUGGUGGUUCAUUCAUAUAUAUAUAUAUAUAUAUAUAUAUAUAUAUAUAUAUAUAUAUAUAUGAAAAUGGGCCAAGUGCAAAUGGGUCAUAUGUUGAAGGGGAGGAAAAUCUGCAUUUUGUAGUUUGAAAAUAUAUUUUUCAUUUUCAUUGUAAAUUUUCUACAAUCAGACCAUAAAAUAUUGGGCUGGUUUAUUAUUACUAUGAUUAGCCCUACUUAUUAAUCACUUUUCUUUGACAAAAAGAAAGCCAAAGAAACUUAAGAAAUAGUGCAAAUAUUAUCACCAGCAGAAUACCAUUCAAAAUAAAAACCU